rnacentral:pre_miRNA from 1 species
CUCAGGCAAAGUUCUGUGGUCCACUCUGACCGUGUGACACUGUGGUCAGUGCAUUACAGAACUUUGCUUUAGU